GACGAACGCUGGCGGCGUGCUUAACACAUGCAAGUCGAACGGAAAGGCCCUGCUUUUGUGGGGUGCUCGAGUGGCGAACGGGUGAGUAACACGUGAGUAACCUGCCCUUGACUUUGGGAUAACUUCAGGAAACUGGGGCUAAUACCGGAUAGGAGCUCCUGCUGCAUGGUGGGGGUUGGAAAGUUUCGGCGGUUGGGGAUGGACUCGCGGCUUAUCAGCUUGUGGGUGGGGUAGUGGCUUACCAAGGCUUUGACGGGUAGCCGGCCUGAGAGGGUGACCGGCCACAUUGUGACUGAGAUACGGCCCAGACUCCUACUGGAGGCAGCAGUGGGGAAUAUUGCACAAUGGGCGGAAGCCUGAUGCAGCAACGCCGCGUGCGGGAUGACGGCCUUCGGGUUGUAAACCGCUUUCGCCUGUGACGAAGCGUGAGUGACGGUAAUGGGUAAAGAAGCACCGGCUAACUACGUG
rnacentral:rRNA from 1 species